CAUGACAAAACACCCAGCUGGUGUUUGGCAAUCAGUUCAUGUUUUUUGGUGUCUGAAAAAUGACCAGUUUCAAAAACCUCCGGAAUGUAAAGUCACAAAUCGCAGGCCCAGCACCGUAACCUAGCAACCCCAGCGCAGCUCUGCCCGUCACCUAGCAACCAAAGCAGAGUACUGCCCGUCACCUAGCAACCCAAGAGGAGCUCUAGCACACUUGGUGAUUUUGUUUUAGCACAACAGGUCACCUUUAAGACGGAGGUUUAAAUUUUUUAAAGACUGGCCUGUUUUAGACAAACUAAAGUCUGGAAAUACAAGCCGUUUUUCAUGCACCAUUGACUGUUUUCCUUACUAAUACAAACCUGGAAAAUACUACAUUUAAAUAUCUCAGAUGUAGCAACUAAAAAGCAGAAAACUCAGGGCAGAUGAAUGCAGUAUGGAGAGGAAGGUUAGUGGUGGGAAACAAGACAUAAAAAUGACAUUUAGCCAAAACAAACCGAGUAUAGUAGUUUUCAUUGUGAGGAAGCUAACUCUUUCAUGUAGACAGACAGACAGAUAGACAGAUGUCUGUUUCUCAUUAAUUCUCCAUCUUUCUGUGUCACUACUUGAUGUCCUGGCAGCCGGUGGUCCAAAGAGCCUUGAUGAUGCUGUUGGUGGGAAAGACUAGGGCUCUUCGGGAGCAACAUCUUGUGACAGCUCUGUCACAUUAUUUCAUCAUCGACAAGGGAGGCACAUUAGGUCUUCUCUGACAGAUAGAUGAAAUCAUAUUUCCAGCACAGACAGAAGUGUGCUGCCUUCGGCUUGUGCAGAACUGAACCGAAAAGAGGGAGUCAGAUUUUUGGCACAGCUGGACUUUUUUUUUAAGUAGCUGCAACUUGCAUCUUAUGCGAGAACUAAAAUGUUCGGAACGGAUUAAAUCCUGGAAUUGCUGGUGGCUUAUUAAAGGGAAGUAGAGCUGCCCCCUCAAACUGCUGCAGCAUGGACUGUGUUGCGCCUGAUUAGCAUGCCUUCUCACGGACAUGCACGCUGAAUUUCUGGGCAAAGAAGUGUAGUCUGUGGAGACAGACAGCACAGUGUCACAUACAAACUCUGAAAACACAGAAAAACUGUCCCAGAGGAAAUAUGUCUGGAAAUCUAGCAGCUUGCCCAGACAUUUUAGACCAGCUAGUCUGUACAUACGCGUAAAAUCAUUUGGCCUGUGCUGCCAACCACAAGCAUCUAAAGUUACUAAGUUAAUAUUUUUUAUUAAAAAUGGUCUUGAAAACAUUUUUCCAAAUAUAAGCCUUUGGUUGUGCUUGUGACAUAGCUCCAAAGUUUUCAAGCAAAGUCUGGCAUCUAUUCAACUUAGUUCAACCAGCUUUCUCUACACAUACAGCUUUGCACAACUAGAGACUUACAUUUUUGUUAGUUGUUCUUGGCUAUAUAGCUCAAGCUCAGUUACAGUGAAUGGAAAACGUCUGUAAACAUCAAUUUUCAAAUCUUGAAAGCAGGAGGUGUCAGAAAAGUUACCACAGGGAUAACUGGCUCGUGGCGGCCAAGCAUUCAUAGUGACAUUGCCUUUUGGUCCUUUUUGAUGUCGUCUCUUCCUAUCACUGUGAAGCAGAAUUCACCAAGCGUUGGAUUGUUCACCCACUAAUAGGGAACGUGAGCUGGGUUUAGACCAACGUGAGACAGGUUAGUUUUAUCCUACUGAUAAUGUGUUGUUGCAACAUCGGAAGAGAACA